rnacentral:rRNA from 1 species
UACGUAGGGAGCAAGCGUUGUCCGGAUUUACUGGGUGUAAAGGGAGCGUAGGCGGCUUAGUAAGUCAGAAGUGAAAGCCCGCAGCUCAACUGCGGGACUGCUUUUGAAACUGCCAAGCUAGAGUGUCGGAGAGGUAAGUGGAAUUCCUAGUGUAGCGGUGAAAUGCGUAGAUAUUAGGAGGAACACCGGUGGCGAAGGCGGCUUACUGGGCUUAAACUGACGCUGAGGCACGAAAGUGUGGGGAGCAAACAGG